rnacentral:rRNA from 1 species
CCUACGGGUGGCAGCAGUGGGGGAUAUUGCACAAUGGGGGAAACCCUGAUGCAGCGACGCCGCGUGGGUGAAGAAGUAUUUCGGUAUGUAAAGCUCUAUCAGCAGGGAAGAAAGAAGACUGUACCUGAAGAAAAAGCAUCGGCUAACUCCGUGCCAGCAGCCGCGGUAAUACGGAGGAGGCGAGCGUUAUCCGGAUUUAUUGGGUUUAAAGGGUGCGCAGGCGGUCUGUUAAGUCAGAGGUCAAAGCUCGGGGCUCAACCCCGGCCCGCCGUUGAAACUGGCAGUCUCGAGUUGGAGAGAAGUAUGCGGAAUGCGCGGUGUAGCGGUGAAAUGCAUAGAUAUCGCGCAGAACUCCGAUUGCGAAGGCAGCAUGCCGGCUCCACACUGACGCUGAGGCACGAAAGCGUGGGUAUCGAACAGGAUUAGAUACCCGGGUAGUC